UUACAUACUUCUCAUGUAUGCAGAAGUGUUGAGAUUUGAAUCCAAGCUGCUUUUCCAAGGGUCUGUCACUGAAGAAGGAGCUGAGAGAGGAUUUGCCUGAAGGUGGAAAAGCCAAUACUGUUUUGGAUAAGUUACCUCAAAAAAUGGAAUCAUAGCCCUUUAGACCUGGAAAGGACUCUGGGAAUCCUCUGGUCCAAACUCCUUCACAGAUGAGGUUGGCGAAACUUGAAAGCAGGUCUGUGUUCCACCAAUACAGGAAGAAUUAAGAGUAAGGAAGAAAGAAAUGCAGAAACAUCACCUGAAUACUUGCCUACCCCCUGGAAAAGUUCAAGGCUCUUACUCAUUUUAUGAAUUUUCCCCAAGUCACUUGUUCUCAUACAUCUUCAGACAUCUGAUCAAGGAAGCAUCAGAGGAAAAUAAAAAGUUGGGUAUCUGCG